rnacentral:lncRNA from 1 species
UAUCAACUUUGCUGACAUAGUAGAAUUUUAGUGUCCAAACCAUAGUACACGUUUUGGUCCCCGGAGGCCGGUAAGGCUAUUUUUGGCCUCCCGUGACACAUGUUUUCAUCGUCAAACGACGAUUUCAUGCCUCCCGUCCGCCACCCAUGAUUUGGCCACUGAGACAGCUAAGGCUGUUUAUGGCCUCCCGUAGGCUAUGGCACACGUUUUCAUGGUCGAGCGACCAUUUUUAAGUACGUGUUCCACCACCCGCGUUUUGGUCCCCAGAGCACCUUAAAAUUGUCCUUGGCCUCCCACGAGCUGUAGCACACGUUUCCGUGGCCAAAGAGCCAAUUUCAUGUAUCCGACCUGCCACCUACGUUUUAGACCGGAGAGGCCGUUACGACAUUUUUUGCCACAAGUGAGCUAUAGCACACGUUUUUAUGGCAACCUAGACCCCAAAUCCAAUCCCUAAACCCUAACCUUAAACACCGACACUAAAAGGUUUUAGUGUCCAAACCAUAGUAAAAUGAAGUUUGAGUCUCCAAACCAUAGUAAGCUUGCAGGCAUGGUAGAAUUUUAGUGUCCAAACCAUAGUACACGUUUUAGUCCCCGGCAGCCCGUAAGGCUAUUUUGGCCUCCCGUGACACAUGUUUUUGUCGUCGAACAGCGAUUUCGUGCCUCCCGACCGCCACCCAUGAUUUGACCAUAGAGACUGGUAAGGUUGUUUUGGCCUCCCGUGAGCUAUAGCACACGUUUUCAUGGCCGAGCGACCAUUUUUAUGUCCGUGUUCCUCCACACGUGUUUUUGUCCCCGGAGCACCUUAAAGCGGUUCUUGGCCUCCCGCGAGCUAUAUCACACAUUUCCGUGGCCAAACAGCCAGUUUUAUGUAUCCGACCUGCCACCUUCGUUUUAGACCGGGGAGGCCGUUAUGGCAAUUUUUUUGCCACCCGUGAGCUAUAGCACACGAUUUUAUGGAAACCUAGACCCUAAUCCUAUCCCUAAACCUAAACCUAACAUCGACACUAAAGGAUUUUAGUGUUGAAAGCAUGGUAAAAUGAAAUUUGAGUCUCCCAACCUUAUCAACUUUGCUGACAUAGUAGAAUUUUAGUGUCCAAACCAUAGUACACGUUUUGGUCCCCGGAGGCCGGUAAGGCUAUUUUUGGCCUCCCGUGACACAUGUUUUCAUCGUCAAACGACGAUUUCAUGCCUCCCGUCCGCCACCCAUGAUUUGGCCACUGAGACUGCUAAGGCUGUUUAUGGCCUCCGUAGGCUAUGGCACACGUUUUCAUGGUCGAGCGACCAUUUUUAAGUACGUGUUCCACCACCCGCGUUUUGGUCCCAGAGCACCUUAAAUUGUCCUUGGCCUCCCACGAGCUGUAGCACACGUUUCCGUGGCCAAAGAGCCAAUUUCAUGUAUCCGACCUGCCACCUACGUUUUAGACCGGAGAGGCCGUUACGACAUUUUUUGCCACAAGUGAGCUAUAGCACACGUUUUUAUGGUAACCUAGACCCCAAAUCCAAUCCCUAAACCCUAACCUUAAACACCGACACUAAAAGGUUUUAGUGUCCAAACCAUAGUAAAAUGAAGUUUGAGUCUCCAAACCAUAGUAAGCUUGCAGGCAUGGUAGAAUUUUAGUGUCCAAACCAUAGUACACGUUUUAGUCCCCGGCAGCCCGUAAGGCUAUUUUGGCCUCCCGUGACACAUGUUUUUGUCGUCGAACAACGAUUUCGUGCCUCCCGACCGCCACCCAUGAUUUGACCAUAGAGACUGGUAAGGUUGUUUUGGCCUCCCGUGAGCUAUAACACACGUUUUCAUGGCCGAGCGACCAUUUUUAUGUCCGUGUUCCUCCACACGUGUUUUUGUCCCCGGAGCACCUUAAAGCGGUUCUUGGCCUCCCGCGAGCUAUAUCACACAUUUCCGUGGCCAAACAGCCAGUUUUAUGUAUCCGACCUGCCACCUUCGUUUUAGACCGGGGAGGCCGUUAUGGCAUUUUUUUGCCACCCGUGAGCUAUAGCACACGAUUUUAUGGAAACCUAGACCCUAAUCCCUAUCCCUAAACCCUAAACCUAAACAUCGACACUAAAGGAUUUUAGUGUUGAAAGCAUGGUAAAAUGAAAUUUGAGUCUCCCAACCUUAUCAACUUUGCUGACAUAGUAGAAUUUUAGUGUCCAAACCAUAGUACACGUUUUGGUCCCCGGAGGCCGGUAAGGCUAUUUUUGGCCUCCCGUGACACAUGUUUUCAUCGUCAAACGACGAUUUCAUGCCUCCCGUCCGCCACCCAUGAUUUGGCCACUGAGACUGCUAAGGCUGUUUAUGGCCUCCGUAGGCUAUGGCACACGUUUUCAUGGUCGAGCGACCAUUUUUAAGUACGUGUUCCACCACCGCGUUUUGGUCCCAGAGCACCUUAAAUUGUCCUUGGCCUCCCACGAGCUGUAGCACACGUUUCCGUGGCCAAAGAGCCAAUUUCAUGUAUCCGACCUGCCACCUACGUUUUAGACCGGAGAGGCCGUUACGACAUUUUUUGCCACAAGUGAGCUAUAGCACACGUUUUUAUGGUAACCUAGACCCCAAAUCCAAUCCCUAAACCCUAACCUUAAACACCGACACUAAAAGGUUUUAGUGUCCAAACCAUAGUAAAAUGAAGUUUGAGUCUCCAAACCAUAGUAAGCUUGCAGGCAUGGUAGAAUUUUAGUGUCCAAACCAUAGUACACGUUUUAGUCCCCGGCAGCCCGUAAGGCUAUUUUGGCCUCCCGUGACACAUGUUUUUGUCGUCGAACAGCGAUUUCGUGCCUCCCGACCGCCACCCAUGAUUUGACCAUAGAGACUGGUAAGGUUGUUUUGGCCUCCCGUGAGCUAUAGCACACGUUUUCAUGGCCGAGCGACCAUUUUUAUGUCCGUGUUCCUCCACACGUGUUUUUGUCCCCGGAGCACCUUAAAGCGGUUCUUGGCCUCCCGCGAGCUAUAUCACACAUUUCCGUGGCCAAACAGCCAUUUUAUGUAUCCGACCUGCCACCUUCGUUUUAGACCGGGGAGGCCGUUAUGGCAAUUUUUUUGCCACCCGUGAGCUAUAGCACACGAUUUUAUGGAAACCUAGACCCUAAUCCUAUCCCUAAACCCUAACUAACAUCGACACUAAAGGAUUUUAGUGUUGAAAGCAUGGUAAAAUGAAAUUUGAGUCUCCCAACCUUAUCAACUUUGCUGACAUAGUAGAAUUUUAGUGUCCAAACCAUAGUACACGUUUUGGUCCCCGGAGGCCGGUAAGGCUAUUUUUGGCCUCCCGUGACACAUGUUUUCAUCGUCAAACGACGAUUUCAUGCCUCCCGUCCGCCACCCAUGAUUUGGCCACUGAGACUGCUAAGGCUGUUUAUGGCCUCCGUAGGCUAUGGCACACGUUUUCAUGGUCGAGCGACCAUUUUAAGUACGUGUUCCACCACCGCGUUUUGGUCCCAGAGCACCUUAAAUUGUCCUUGGCCUCCCACGAGCUGUAGCACACGUUUCCGUGGCCAAAGAGCCAAUUUCAUGUAUCCGACCUGCCACCUACGUUUUAGACCGGAGAGGCCGUUACGACAUUUUUUGCCACAAGUGAGCUAUAGCACACGUUUUUAUGGUAACCUAGACCCCAAAUCCAAUCCCUAAACCCUAACCUUAAACACCGACACUAAAAGGUUUUAGUGUCCAAACCAUAGUAAAAUGAAGUUUGAGUCUCCAAACCAUAGUAAGCUUGCAGGCAUGGUAGAAUUUUAGUGUCCAAACCAUAGUACACGUUUUAGUCCCCGGCAGCCCGUAAGGCUAUUUUGGCCUCCCGUGACACAUGUUUUUGUCGUCGAACAGCGAUUUCGUGCCUCCCGACCGCCACCCAUGAUUUGACCAUAGAGACUGGUAAGGUUGUUUUGGCCUCCCGUGAGCUAUAGCACACGUUUUCAUGGCCGAGCGACCAUUUUUAUGUCCGUGUUCCUCCACACGUGUUUUUGUCCCCGGAGCACCUUAAAGCGGUUCUUGGCCUCCCGCGAGCUAUAUCACACAUUUCCGUGGCCAAACAGCCAGUUUUAUGUAUCCGACCUGCCACCUUCGUUUUAGACCGGGGAGGCCGUUAUGGCAUUUUUUUGCCACCCGUGAGCUAUAGCACACGAUUUUAUGGAAACCUAGACCCUAAAUCCUAUCCCUAAACCUAAACAUCGACACUAAAGGAUUUUAGUGUUGAAAGCAUGGUAAAAUGAAAUUUGAGUCUCCCAACCUUAUCAACUUUGCUGACAUAGUAGAAUUUUAGUGUCCAAACCAUAGUACACGUUUUGGUCCCCGGAGGCCGGUAAGGCUAUUUUUGGCCUCCCGUGACACAUGUUUUCAUCGUCAAACGACGAUUUCAUGCCUCCCGUCCGCCACCCAUGAUUUGGCCACUGAGACUGCUAAGGCUGUUUAUGGCCUCCGUAGGCUAUGGCACACGUUUUCAUGGUCGAGCGACCAUUUUUAAGUACGUGUUCCACCACCCGUUUUUGGUCCCAGAGCACCUUAAAUUGUCCUUGGCCUCCCACGAGCUGUAGCACACGUUUCGUGGCCAAAGAGCCAAUUUCAUGUAUCCGACCUGCCACCUACGUUUUAGACCGGAGAGGCCGUUACGACAUUUUUUGCCACAAGUGAGCUAUAGCACAUGUUUUUAUGGUAACCUAGACCCCAAAUCCAAUCCCUAAACCCUAACCUUAAACACCGACACUAAAAGGUUUUAGUGUCCAAACCAUAGUAAAAUGAAGUUUGAGUCUCCAAACCAUAGUAAGCUUGCAGGCAUGGUAGAAUUUUAGUGUCCAAACCAUAGUACACGUUUUAGUCCCCGGCAGCCCGUAAGGCUAUUUUGGCCUCCCGUGACACAUGUUUUUGUCGUCGAACAGCGAUUUCGUGCCUCCCGACCGCCACCCAUGAUUUGACCAUAGAGACUGGUAAGGUUGUUUUGGCCUCCCGUGAGCUAUAGCACACGUUUUCAUGGCCGAGCGACCAUUUUUAUGUCCGUGUUCCUCCACACGUGUUUUUGUCCCCGGAGCACCUUAAAGCGGUUCUUGGCCUCCCGCGAGCUAUAUCACACAUUUCCGUGGCCAAACAGCCAGUUUUAUGUAUCCGACCUGCCACCUUCGUUUUAGACCGGGGAGGCCGUUAUGGCAUUUUUUUGCCACCCGUGAGCUAUAGCACACGAUUUUAUGGAAACCUAGACCCUAAUCCUAUCCCUAAACCUAACUAACAUCGACACUAAAGGAUUUUAGUGUUGAAACCAUGGUAAAAUGAAAUUUGAGUCUCCCAACCUUAUCAACUUUGCUGACAUAGUAGAAUUUUAGUGUCCAAACCAUAGUACACGUUUUGGUCCCCGGAGGCCGGUAAGGCUAUUUUUGGCCUCCCGUGACACAUGUUUUCAUCGUCAAACGACGAUUUCAUGCCUCCCGUCCGCCACCCAUGAUUUGGCCACUGAGACUGCUAAGGCUGUUUAUGGCCUCCGUAGGCUAUGGCACACGUUUUCAUGGUCGAGCGACCAUUUUUAAGUACGUGUUCCACCACCGCGUUUUGGUCCCAGAGCACCUUAAAUGGUCCUUGGCCUCCCACGAGCUGUAGCACACGUUUCGUGGCCAAAGAGCCAAUUUCAUGUAUCCGACCUGCCACCUACGUUUUAGACCGGAGAGGCCGUUACGACAUUUUUUGCCACAAGUGAGCUAUAGCACAUGUUUUUAUGGUAACCUAGACCCCAAAUCCAAUCCCUAAACCCUAACCUUAAACACCGACACUAAAAGGUUUUAGUGUCCAAACCAUAGUAAAAUGAAGUUUGAGUCUCCAAACCAUAGUAAGCUUGCAGGCAUGGUAGAAUUUUAGUGUCCAAACCAUAGUACACGUUUUAGUCCCCGGCGGCCCGUAAGGCUAUUUUGGCCUCCCGUGACACAUGUUUUUGUCGUCGAACAGCGAUUUCGUGCCUCCCGACCGCCACCCAUAUUUGACCAUAGAGACUGGUAAGGUUGUUUUGGCCUCCCGUGAGCUAUAGCACACGUUUUCAUGGCCGAGCGACCAUUUUUAUGUCCGUGUUCCUCCACACGUGUUUUUUCCCCGGAGCACCUUAAAGCGGUUCUUGGCCUCCCGCGAGCUAUAUCACACAUUUCCGUGGCCAAACAGCCAAUUUUAUGUAUCCGACCUGCCACCUUCGUUUUAGACCGGGGAGGCCGUUAUGGCAUUUUUUUGCCACCCGUGAGCUAUAGCACACGAUUUUAUGGAAACCUAGACCCUAAUCCUAUCCCUAAACCUAAACUAAUCGACACUAAAGGAUUUUAGUGUUGAAACCAUGGUAAAAUGAAAUUUGAGUCUCCCAACCUUAUCAACUUUGCUGACAUAGUAGAAUUUUAGUGUCCAAACCAUAGUACACGUUUUGGUCCCCGGAGGCCGGUAAGGCUAUUUUUGGCCUCCCGUGACACAUGUUUUCAUCGUCAAACGACGAUUUCAUGCCUCCCGUCCGCCACCCAUGAUUUGGCCACUGAGACUGCUAAGGCUGUUUAUGGCCUCUCGUAGGUUAUGGCACACGUUUUCAUGGUCGAGCGACCAUUUUUAAGUACGUGUUCCACCACCCGUUUUUUGGUUCCCAGAGCACCUUAAAGUGGUCCUUGGCCUCCCACGAGCUGUAGCACAGGUUUUCGUGGCCAAAGAGCCAAUUUCAUGUAUCCGACCUGCCACCUACGUUUUAGACCGGAGAGGCCGUUACGACAUUUUUUGCCACAAGUGAGCUAUAGCACAUGUUUUUAUGGUAACCUAGACCCCAAAUCCAAUCCUUAAACCCUAACCUUAAACACCGACACUAAAAGGUUUUAGUGUCCAAACCAUAGUAAAAUGAAGUUUGAGUCUCCAAACCAUAGUAAGCUUGCAGGCAUGGUAGAAUUUUAGUGUCCAAACCAUAGUACACGUUUUAGUCCCCGGCGGACCGUAAGGCUAUUUUGGCCUCCCGUGACACAUGUUUUUGUCGUCGAACAGCGAUUUCGUGCCUCCCGACCGCCACCCAUUAUUUGACCAUAGAGACUG